UAGGGGUGUUAGGGCUGGUUUUGGGGAUGACAGGUCUGGUUUUAGGGAGGAUAAAUCUGGUUUUAGGGGUGUCCGGUCUCAUCUAGGGAGAGGUUUUAGGGGUGUUCAUUCUCAUUUAGGGAGGAUAAAUCUGGAUUUAGGGGUGUUAGGGCUGGUUUGGGGGAUGAUAGGUCUGUUUUUAGGGAAAACAGGUCUGGUUUUAAGGGUGUUACGUCUCAGGGAGGAUAAGUCUGGUUUUAGGGGGGCUUGGUCUCAUUUAGGGAGGAUAAAUCUGGAUUUAGGGAUGUUAGGGCUGGUUUUGGGGAUGACAGGUCUGGGUUUGGGGAUGAUAGGUCUGCUUUUAGGGAGGAUAGGUCUGGUUUUAGGGGUGCUCAGCCUCAUUUAGGUGAGGGUAGGUCUGGAUUUAGGGGUGUCCAGUCUCAUUUAGGGAGGGUAGGUCUGGUUUUAGGGGUGUAAUGUCUCAUUUAGGGAGGGUAGGUCUGGUUUUAGGGGUGUUAUGUCUCAUUUAGGGAGGGUAGGUCUGGUUUUAGGGAUGUUCAGU